UAUACAGGGGGUACCGGUACAGAGUCAAUGUGGAGGCUAUAUACAGGGGGUACCGGUACAGAGUCAAUGUGGAGGCUAUAUACAGGGGGUACCGGUACAGAGUCAAUGUGGAGGCUAUAUACAGGGUAUUACGGUACAGAGUCAAUGUGGAGGCUAUAUACAGGGGGUACCGGUACAGAGUCAAUGUGGAGGCUAUAUACAGGGGGUACCGGUACAGAGUCAAUGUGGAGGCUAUAUACAGGGGGGGUACGGCACAGAGUCAAUGU
rnacentral:lncRNA from 1 species